CAGGAUUUUUCAUGUCUUUGCAUGCAGAAAAACACAGAAUUUCACAGAGAAGCACCACAGACGUCAUGAACAUCUAAGAUGGAGGAGAGUCGCCGUCCAGCUGGAUCUUCUGGAUGGAGAUCUCACUGCUGAGGAGAGUGUGAGGUUCAUGACGUGUGUCGGGACAGAUGUCAGGUGAUCAGCAUGCACUGCUUACAGGCAGUGAAUGUGAUUUACCCUGCUGUUUGGAAAACACCUUCCUCUGCCGCUGUAGACGUGGACCUCGCUCUAU